AGUGAACGCUGGCGGCAGGCCUAACACAUGCAAGUCGAACGGCAGCACAGCAGUAGCAAUACUGUGGGUGGCGAGUGGCGGACGGGUGAGGAAUACAUGGGAAUCUGCCCUGUCGUGGGGGAUAACGUAGGGAAACUUACGCUAAUACCGCAUACGACCGAGAGGUGAAAGCGGCGGACCGCAAGGCGUCGCGCGAUUGGAUGAGCCCAUGUCGGAUUAGCUAGUUGGCGGGGUAAAGGCCCACCAAGGCGACGAUCCGUAGCUGGUCUGAGAGGAUGAUCAGCCACACUGGAACUGAGACACGGUCCAGACUCCUACGGGAGGCAGCAGUGGGGAAUAUUGGACAAUGGGCGCAAGCCUGAUCCAGCCAUGCCGCGUGAGUGAAGAAGGCCUUCGGGUUGUAAAGCUCUUUUGUCCGGAAAGAAAAGCCUUCGGUUAAUACCCGGGGGUGAUGACGGUACCGGAAGAAUAAGCACCGGCUAACUUCGUGCCAGCAGCCGCCGCCGUAA
rnacentral:rRNA from 1 species